rnacentral:rRNA from 1 species
AGUGAACGCUGGCGGUAGGCCUAACACAUGCAAGUCGAACGGCAGCACAGUAAGAGCUUGCUCUUACGGGUGGCGAGUGGCGGACGGGUGAGGAAUACAUCGGAAUCUACUUUUUCGUGGGGGAUAACGUAGGGAAACUUACGCUAAUACCGCAUACGACCUACGGGUGAAAGCAGGGGAUCUUCGGACCUUGCGCGAUUGAAUGAGCCGAUGUCGGAUUAGCUAGUUGGCGGGGUAAAGGCCCACCAAGGCGACGAUCCGUAGCUGGUCUGAGAGGAUGAUCGGCCACACUGGAACUGGGACACGGUCCAGACUCCUGCGGGAGGCAGCAGUGGGGAAUGUUGGGCAGUGGGCGCAAGCCUGGUCCAGCCAUACCGCGUGGGUGAAGAAGGCCUUCGGGUUGUAAAGCCCUUUUGUUGGGAAAGAAAAGCAGCAGGUUAAUACCCCGCUGUUCUGACGGUACCCAAAGAAUAAGCACCGGCUAACUUCGUG